UACAGAGGUCUCGAGCGUUGUUCGGAUUCAUUGGGCGUAAAGGGCGCGUAGGCGGCCAACUAAGUCGGAUGUGAAAUCCCCAGGCUUAACCUGGGAACUGCAUCCGAUACUGGAUGGCUUGAAUUCGGGAGAGGGAUGCAGAAUUCCAGGUGUAGCGGUGAAAUGCGUAGAUAUCUGGAGGAAUACCGGUGGCGAAGGCGGCAUCCUGGACCGACAUUGACGCUGAGGAGCGAAAGCCAGGGGAGCAAACGGG
rnacentral:rRNA from 1 species